UAAGUAUUCAUAUGAUAUACAAAUUCAUUUAAUGAUUUGAAAAUAUACACUUUAAAAUCUAUUGUAUGAGUGAACCCCUAAACAAAUUCUGCCAAAAAAGUGCAAUAAACUUGUCCUGCUGAUGUUGUGCAUAAGCAUUUCUUAUUCCAUAUCACGGGGCAGGAAGAACUAUCUGAAAAUUAUGGUCUAUAGUAAUUUCUUGACUCAUGAAUCCUUUAGGAGGAUUGUGUGUGCACACAGCAAAAGGACAAUACAGUUUCUCGCAUUUUCUAUUACUCUUACUACUACAAAUGGCAUUGGCCAAACAGAAGAACAUAUUUGUGAUUGCUUUGUGUGUGUGAUGUAGCUCACAAGCCUUUCCCUCUUGUAACAGUGGUGGCUGGAAUAGCUCCCUCUGCUCAGUUACGUGUGGACACAGAAUGAACUGACUCAGAGAAUUCAUUCUGAUUAAAUUUUUUAUUUUUGCCAGGUUAUUUUCCCCAGGUCUGUCUGGCCAUGCACUGCUGUGUCCGUGCUGCUGAGGGGUAGCUGGAACAAAUGGAACAAGAACUAAGCUGGACCGGAUCAGCACUACAGCCCGAGAGAGGGUGAGACCACAAUUCUGGGAAGGCCUGAUUACAGCAGCCAUAUCAACAUGGAACAUGUGGAAAAUAGGGGGAAGCUGGAGAGAGGUAAUAAAGCUGAAGGACACCCAUAGCAAGGCCAAAAGAGAUUGGCAGAGUAGGAUGUCUAAUGAAAGAUGUUGACUGGCCUGCAAAUCAAAGGAUAAUAUUCCAAAGGGACAGAGAAACAAUGGAAGGUAAAGGAUCAGCAAUGUUUGCAGAGAAAACACAGACAUGGUGAUGGGUGAGAGUUUACAGCCUGUGUGGUGUGUUGUGUAGAUGUAACACAGUGUCACAUACUCAACAAACCAAAGUGGAACAGGGCCUGGAGUCAUUUAAAAUGGUACCAUGUGGGCACGUCAAGAGUGGGAACUAAAUAGAGACUGAAAAGAAAGCACAGAAGUGAAGAAAGCAUCUGUUCUGGAAGAACAGAAACAUCACUUGUGACAAUUUGGUUUCAGAGGCAUAUGCUGGUUUUAUUAUUCAGCCAGUGGUAAAACAACAUUAAAGCUUCUAAUGAUUAUUUACUAACAAAAAUAAUGUUGACUUCAUGCUCAGAUAACUCUUUUGGAUCCCAUUAUGAUGUUGCCAUGGAACCAACCUGUGAUAUUGGCAAGCUCAUACUCCAUAAGGGCAAACAUAACACUUGCAACCAGUAAAAUAAUUAUUACAUGUACUUAGUACAUCAGAAAGUUUCCAAAGAUGAGAAAAAAAUAUAAGAAAAACUGAUUUUGAUCUAAAGAAACCAAACCAGAUAUAGAAAUUACAUUUUUUAAAGGGUAUCUUUAUUCUGGUCAACAAACCACUGCUAAUGCUACUGGCAGAUGACAUAAAAACAUUGGCAAAUACUUGAGAUAAGAGUGGUAAAUUACAAAGAUGAGCUAAUCAUACAGAGCAAUCUGAAAUGUUUGUGAAACAGAAAACAAAAGAGUCUUGAAUUGAGUCAAAUUUCAUGAAUGCACUGGGAACAAGGGGUUGAGGUCCCAUCUACAGGGCCAGGGCUGUAUCUGGAGGACAGUGAUUCAGAACAGAAAUUACAGAUUGGUGCUAGUUGAUAUGAACGAGGUUCAGAGGUAGCCACUAUUUUCUGUCAAGGAAAUGAUUGCUGUAGCAUUUGGAUUAAAAUGUCCCUAAAACUGGCUUUGCUCUGUGUAAGCAAAUGAGUGGACGUGGCAACCAAAACCACAAGGAAGCCUUUUACCUACAGCCAGACCUCUGAUAGCAGGAGGACAAGAGCAGACACGAGUGUCUUCAACGGCACAUUCCAUUUACUUCUGGGAAGUAACCAUGUUUUUCAUCUCUGAAUCUGUGUUCUGUUUUCCUCUGUAAUAAUUAAAAUGGUCUGUAAUAAAAAUAAAGAGAUCAUAAAAUAA